rnacentral:rRNA from 1 species
CGCUGGCGGCGUGCUAACACAUGCAAGUCGAACGGGAACGUCUAGACUGAAGGUUCGCUGGAUGUUUAGAAACUCUAGUGGCGGACGGGUGAGUAACGCGUGGGUAACCUGCCUAUAAGACGUGAACAACAGUUAGAAAUGACUGCUAAUACACGAUAAGCACACCAGUAUCGCAUGAUACAGUGUGAAAAGAAUUUCGCUUAUAGAUGGACCCGCGUUUGAUUAGCCAGUUGGUGGGGUAACGGCCUACCAAAGCAACGAUCAAUAGCCGGCCUGAGAGGGCGACCGGCCACAUUGGGACUGAGACACGGCCCAAACUCCUACGGGAGGCAGCAGUGGGGAAUAUUGGACAAUGGGGGCAACCCUGAUCCCAGCAACGCCGCGUGAGUGAUGAAGUAUCUUGGUAUGUAAAGCUCUAUCAGUAGGAACGAAAAUGACGGUACCUAACUAAGAAGCCCCGGCUAACUACGUGCCAGCCGCCGC